AUUCCAGCUCCAAUAGCGUAUAUUAAAGUUGCUGCGGUUAAAACGCUCGUAGUUGAAUUGUGGUCUUAGACAACAGUCCCCCUAUAUAGGUGUGGCACGGUUGCUCGAGAUCUUCAUUCGUGGUUGCUGUUGUUGCUCUUCAUUGAGUGUCAAUGGUGCCUCGAGAUUUUACUUUGAAAAAAUUAGAGUGCUCAAAGCAGGUUGUGAUGCCUGAAUAAUGGUGCAUGGAAUAAUAGAAUACGAUCUCGGUUCUAUUUUGUUGGUUUUCGAACCGGAGAUAAUGAUUGAAAGGAACAGACGGGGGCAUUCGUAUUGCUGCGUUAGAGGUGAAAUUCUUGGAUCGCAGCAAGAUGAACAAUUGCGAAAGCAUUUGCCAAGAAUGUUUUCAUUAAUCAAGAAGAAUGUUUUCAUUAAUCAAGAACGAAAGUUAGAGGUUCGAAGGCGAUCAGAUACCGCCCUAGUUCUAACGGUAAACUAUGCCAACCAGCGAUUCGCCGAAGUUCAUUUAAGACUCGGCGAGCAGCUUCCGGGAAACCAAAGUGUUUCGGUUCCGGGGGAAGUAUGGUUGCAAAGCUGAAACUUAAAGGAAUUGACGGAAGGGCACCACCAGGAGUGGAGCCUGCGGCUUAAUUUGACCCAACACGGGAAAACUCACCCGGCCCGGACACUGAAAGGAUUGACAGAUUGACAGCUCUUUCUUGAUUCAGUGGGUAGUGGUGCAUGGCCGUUCUUAGUUGGUGGAGCGAUUUGUCUGGUUAAUUCCGAUAACGAACGAGACUCUACCCUAUUAAAUAGUGACAGUAUUGCAUAUUCUGUGCUGAUCACUUCUUAGAGGGACUGGCAAAUUGAAAGCUGCACGAAAAAGAGCAAUAACAGGUCUGUGAUGCCCUUCGAUGUCCGGGGCUGCACGCGCGCUACAAUGAAAGCGUCAACGUGAGUUACGUCCUUACCUGAAAAGGUUUGGCAAUCGAUUGAAACGUUUUCUUGAAUGGAAUAGGGAAUUGCAAUUGUUUCCCUUGAACGAGGAAUUCCCAGUAAGCGUGAGUCAUUAGCUCGCGUUGAUUACGUCCCUGCCCUUUGUACACACCGCCCGUCGCUACUACGUCGCUACUACCGAUUGGAUGAUUUAGUGAGGUGUUUUGACUAGCGCCUGUAGUCGGAUGUAUAUUCGGCUUCGCGCCGGGAAAUUUCCCAAACCAAAUCAUCUAGAGGAAGUAAAAGUCGUAACAAGGUUUCCGUAGGUGAACCUGCGGAAG
rnacentral:rRNA from 1 species